rnacentral:tRNA from 1 species
GGCAGUGUGGCUCAGUGGUAGAGUACUUGCCUAGUAUACAAGAGACCCUUGGUCCAAUCCUAAGCACCA